UCAAAAUCUUAAUAGGUGUGCUGAUUCUACU
rnacentral:piRNA from 1 species